AUUGAACGCUGGCGGCAGGCUUAACACAUGCAAGUCGAGCGAGCGGCGGCCGGGUGAGUAAUGUCUGGGAAACUGCCUGAUGGAGGGGGAUAACUACUGGAAACGGUAGCUAAUACCGCAUACCAUCAGAUGUGCCCAGAUGGGAUUAGCUAGUAGGUGGGGUAAUGGCUCACCUAGGCGACGAUCCCUAGCUGGUCUGAGAGGAUGACCCGCCACACUGGAACUGAGACAGGGUCCCGACUCCUAAGGGAGGCAGCAGGGGGGAAUAUUGCACAAUGGACGCAAGCCGGAUGCAGCCAUGCCGCGUGUGUGAAGAAGGCCUUCGGGUUGUAAAGCACUUUAAGCGAGGAGGCGUUACUCGCAGAAGAAGCACCGGCUAACUCCGUGCCAGGAGCCGGGGUAAUUC
rnacentral:rRNA from 1 species